UGGGGAAUAUUGCACAAUGGGCGAAAGCCUGAUGCAGCGACGCCGCGUGAGGGAUGACGGCCUUCGGGUUGUAAACCUCUUUCAGCAGGGAAGAAGCGAAAGUGACGGUACCUGCAGAAGAAGCGCCGGCUAACUACGUGCCAGCAGCCGCGGUAAUACGUAGGGCGCAAGCGUUGUCCGGAAUUAUUGGGCGUAAAAGAGCUCGUAGGCGGUUAGUCGCGUCUGCUGUGAAAACUCGAGGCUCAACCUCGGGCUUGCAGUGGGUACGGGCUGACUAGAGUGCAGUAGGGGUGACUGGAAUUCCUGGUGUAGCGGUGGAAUGCGCAGAUAUCAGGAGGAACACCGAUGGCGAAGGCAGGUCACUGGGCCGCAACUGACGCUGAGGAGCGAAAGCAUGGGGAGCGAACAGGAUUAGAUACCCUGGUAGUCCAUGCCGUAAAACGUUGGGCACUAGGUGUGGGGUCCAUUCCACGGAUUCCGUGCCGCAGCAAACGCAUU
rnacentral:rRNA from 1 species